rnacentral:precursor_RNA from 15 species
AGGAAGCUAAGGAAAACGAGUGAUUUGCCUUAAGAUCACAGAGUCUGAAGAGUCUGAAACCUGACUCCAGGUCUGGUGUGAUCUUGUGCAAGUCACUUAACCUCUUCAGUUUUCUGU